rnacentral:rRNA from 1 species
UACGUAGGGGGCUAGCGUUGUCCGGAAUCAUUGGGCGUAAAGCGCGUGUAGGCGGUCCGGUAAGUCCGCUGUGAAAGUCGGGGGGCUCAACCCUCGGAUGCCGGUGGAUACUGUCGGGCUGGAGUCCGGAAGAGGCGAGUGGAAUUCCUGGUGUAGCGGUGAAAUGCGCAGAUAUCAGGAGGAACACCAAUGGCGAAGGCAGCUCGCUGGGACGGUACUGACGCUGAGACGCGAAAGCGUGGGGAGCAAACAGG